UAGAUAUUUAUGAUCUACCCUAUUUGAAUGCUUGACACAGCGGCACAUCGGGAUGAUCAUGCAAUUUGUUUAUCACACAAUUCCCACUUCAUUUGUUAAGCUAACUUGGUUUUACGAGCUAGCUGCUUCUACACCCGUAUUGUAUUGCUCGCGUGAUUUGUGAUGUUAACAGUUUGUUUAGUCCAUAAUUUAUUAACGUGAUUGUUUAUAUGCGUGACAUCUCAGCCACAUCCACCUCUGGUUUGCAUGUAACAUCAAAAUUAGCUGCAAGUUCAGUGUGGUGCAACUAAGUUAGCCUAGCUUUACCAAAGGUGUUGUAUGAUUGUUCUCCCUUUCCAAGGUCUCUGGCUUUUCCAAAUUCGACAUUAGCUCAUUUUGCAUCACUAACUAAUCAGUAUUAAUGUGUAUUUUGUGUGCAAAGUGCCGUUGAAAAUAUCUGAAAAAGGAGAUCUGAACAGAAAUAAGAGGAGCUAUUAAGUCACACCAACCUAAUUGUCUCUUCUAAGCACAAUCUUCUCGUUGAUUUAAUGCAUGUCAUAUUAUCCAUCCUCUCCACAGAAUAUGACAACAUUGUCUUCAUAUGGCUGUUUGUAUGCAUUAUCUAACUGAAGUUGUGUGUGGUUUUUCUGUUGCACAUUUAAGAAACUUACUAUUUCUUUUGGUCUAAAUCUUACUUUACAGUUUUACGUCUCCAGUUUUCCCUGAGGUCCAAAAUAUUCAGUGGAGUGAAACUGUUGAUGGCAGCAAAAUGUAACAAGCUUGUCCUGGAGGACUGCUCUGAUGGGGAAUGCUGUGGAGGAGAAACAGGCAGACUGUGGUCCAUCGUGUGUGCUCCCAGUGCGUUAAUACACGGACAGUCCUUUUUAAGUGCAACCAGAGGAAUAAUGUGAUUGAGAGGAAGAGUGGCCCCAUACAUUGCUUGACCUGGAGCCUACCAAAGUCUAAGGUCUCAGGUGUCUCCAGAAGAACACAUCCCAAUGAAGACCCCAGUCAUAGUCAUCAACUUGACAGCUCAGCCUGUUACUUGAACUGUGUUCUUAGAGCCAAGUGUAACUGAGUUUUCCACACAGUCUGUCCCCCUUAGAUCUUGAACUUGCCACCACCUAGUCAACGCAUCGGUUCGGGUAUGGGAGGCACAGCACGAUACCGCUGAGCUAAAUGACCAGUCCCAUAGCUCAGCGCUGCUGGUACUGUAUGAGGCUUCGGGAGGGAGGUUUACUAUCCUUCCACGCCACACUCUGCUAGUUGGCCUCCGUUACACAAGCUCGAAUAAUCCAAGCAGCCAAUCCAACUUCUUCAGCACUGCCUUUGAACACUAUGAAGAACCACUCAGAACCACUGAAUGAAACUAAAUGACCACAUUAUACUGUUAAAGGUCCACUGUGUAGGAUGGUGAUCAGAGCAGGUAUUGCACCUAUGCUGCUCAUUGCAACUGUGCUACCUAUUGUCCAUUUUGACUUUUGAAUUUUCAAGAAUUUUACCAAGUAUUUACUAGUAUGUACCAAUAUUUACUAGUAUGACCAAAAUACAGUACAUUAUGCAACUAAAUUCAAGAUGGUGGACAAUGGACUCCUUUCAUGUUUUCAUGAAAAGUGUAAUUUUCCCAGUCAUAAUGAAUACUCAGAAUUUGAUGGUGGUAAGUAUUCUGAAAAAGGUUACAUUUGUGAAUGGCCUGAAUUAAUGCUGGAAAGAAACUGCUUAAAAAUAUUACACAGCGUACCUUUUAACAUUUCAUCUGUAGUAACAGAAUGUAGCGUUUCUCAGCUGCGACUCAAACCUAGGCCCUCUUUCGUGGUGGUUGUUGUAAUGACACACUAAAAGCGAUAAUAUCUGCAUGAAGCUGCUCAGA